rnacentral:lncRNA from 1 species
GGCAGCUCUUUAUUUUUCAUGCUAUUAAGGUUUAUCAGCAAUACAAUGACUGGUUUAAAGCACAGCAUAAUUAUGACAUCAACUCUAUAAUCUUUGCUUCAGUUAAUUGAAUUAGUUUUAAGAUAUUCACUAACUUGGAUAUGUUUUCAAUGUUUCUGUGCAAGCAGAACCUUAAGUGUAAGAGAGGAGUAUGAAGGCUUAUGAAGAGUAGAAUUUAUCUGCUAAAGAACUCAACCUUUCUCAUAUAUACAUUAAAACACAAAAACAUAGCCAAGUGCUUUAAUUUAGCCUGAACCUAUAUUUUUCCAAAGAAUCUUGUGGGUAUUUGUCUAUUAUACAAUGUUUGUAUUAAAGCCAAGCGAACUAUUAGUGAAAACACAAGUCGAGGCUUAUUUUGUCCUUAAUAUAAAACAGUAAUUGUUACCUUGAGUAAUACCUUAUUACAGCUUAUAGGCUCAGGAUGUACUGCAGGAAAGGUAUGGAAUUAUUGCACAUUUGUGAAAUUCAAACUUCAUUAUUCAAGAUGCACAGCAAUAACUGCAAGAAGCAAAGGAUUACUUUAAAUGACCAAACUAGUC